UACGCUGGCGGCGUGCCUAACACAUGCAAGUCGAACGAUUCUUUGAUUUAUAGCAAUAUUUAUUAAAGAGGAGUGGCGAACGGGUGAGUAACACGUAGAUAAUCUGCCUUCAGACGGGGACAACUCAGGGAAACUUGUGCUAAUACCCGAUGAGACCACAAGAAGGGAUUUUUUGUGGCCAAGGGCGGGCAGCAAUGCUCGUGCUGAAAGAUGAGUCUGCGUCCUAUCAGCUAGUUGGUGGGGUAAAUGCCUACCAAGGCUAAGACGGGUAGCCGGCCUGAGAGGGUGAACGGCCACACUGGGACUGAGACACGGCCCAGACUCCUACGGGAGGCAGCAGUGAGGAAUUUUCCGCAAUGGGCGCAAGCCUGACGGAGCGACGCCGCGUGAGGGAUGACAAGCUUUCGGGUUGUAAACCUCUUUUAUUAAGGAAAAAGAUCUAUAUGCUAAUAUCAUGUAGAUUUGAUGGUACUUAUUGAAUAAGCCCCGGCUAACUACGUGCCAGCAGCUGC
rnacentral:rRNA from 1 species